UGUGGGGUAAGGCAGAGUGGUUUGAGCGCUGGACUAUUGAUUCUGGAGACCAGGGUUCAAUUCCCCACUCCAUCA